GAUGAACGCUGGCGGCGUGCUUAACACAUGCAAGUCGAACGGUGAAGGCGGAGCUUGCUCUGCUGGAUCAGUGGCGAACGGGUGAGUAACACGUGAGCAAUCUGCCCCUGACUCUGGGAUAAGCGCUGGAAACGGCGUCUAAUACUGGAUACGAGCUGCGAAGGCAUCUUCAGCAGCUGGAAAGAAUUUCGGUCAGGGAUGAGCUCGCGGCCUAUCAGCUUGUUGGUGAGGUAAUGGCUCACCAAGGCGUCGACGGGUAGCCGGCCUGAGAGGGUGACCGGCCAAAGUGGGAGGGAGACACGGCCAAGACUACUACGGGAGGCAGCAGUGGGGAAUGGUGGACAAUGGGCUGGGGGCUGACGAAGAAAAGCCGCGGGAGGGACGACGGCGUGCGGGUAGUAAAAGUAAUGGGGCCGGGAAGAAGCGAAAGGGACGGUACGUGAAGAAAAAGCGCCGGCUAACUACGUG
rnacentral:rRNA from 1 species